GAUGAACGCUGGCGGCGUGCCUAAUACAUGCCAGUCGAACGCUUCUUUCCUCCCGAGUGCUUGCACUCAAUUGGAAAGAGGAGUGGCGGACGGGUGAGUAACACGUGGGUAACCUACCCAUCAGAGGGGGAUAACACUUGGAAACAGGUGCUAAUACCGCAUAACAGUUUAUGCCGCAUGGCAUAAGAGUGAAAGGCGCUUUCGGGUGUGGCUGCUGGUUGGACCCGCGGUGCAUUAGCUAGUUGGUGAGGUAACGGCUCACCAAGGCCACGAUGCAUAGCCGACCUGAGAGGGUGAUCGGCCACACUGGGACUGAGACACGGCCCAGACUCCUACGGGAGGCAGCAGUAGGGAAUCUUCGGCAAUGGACGAAAGUCUGACCGAGCAACGCCGCGUGAGUGAAGAAGGUUUUCGGAUCGUAAAACUCUGUUGUUAGAGAAGAACAAGGACGUUAGUAACUGAACGUCCCCUGACGGUAUCUAACCAGAAAGCCACGGCUAACUACGUG
rnacentral:rRNA from 1 species